CCUACGGGUGGCAGCAGUGAGGAAUAUUGGUCAAUGGACGGGAGCCUGAACCAGCCAUGCAGCGUGAAGGAUGACUGCCCUAUGGGUUGUAAACUUCUUUUAUAUGGGGAUAAAAUGUUCCACGUGUGGGGUUUUGUAUGUACCAUAUGAAUAAGGAUCGGCUAACUCCGUGCCAGCAGCCGCGGUAAUACGGAGGAUCCGAGCGUUAUCCGGAUUUAUUGGGUUUAAAGGGAGCGUAGGUGGUUUGUUAAGUUAGGUGUGAAAGUUUGAGGCUCAACCGUAACAUUGCAGUUGAUACUGGCAGUCUAGAGUACAGUAGAGGUAGGCGGAAUUCGUGGUGUAGCGGUGAAAUGCUUAGAUAUCACGAAGAACUCCGAUUGCGAAGGCAGCUUACUGGACUGGAACUGACACUGAGGCUCGAAAGUGUGGGUAUCAAACAGGAUUAGAUACCCGUGUAGUC
rnacentral:rRNA from 1 species